AGAGCCUACCGAAUCCUGAUGAACUCCGAAUGCCAAUGGCUAUACACGGCAGUGAGGCCUGGGGUGCUAAGGUCCCCGGCCGAGAGGGAAAGAACCCAGACCAACAGCUAAGGUCCCUAAAUCUAGAUUAAGUUGAACAAAGGAGGUCCACUUGCUUUGACAGCCAGGAGGUUGGCUUGGAAGCAGCCAUUCAUUUAAAGAGUGCGUAACAGCUCACUGGUCGAGCGAGCGGGCGUCGAUAAUACGCGGGCAUCAAAUCUAGUACCGAAGCUUUGGAUUUAGUCUGCAAGAUGACUAAGUGGUAGGGGAGCAUUCUCCUUGCGGUGAAGGCGUGUCGUCAGGCAUGUUGGAGCGUGGAGAAAAGCAUAUGUAGGCAUGAGUAACGAUAAUGGGGGUGCGAAACCCCCACGCCGAUAGACUAAGGUUUCCAAUUCAACGCUAAUCGGAAUUGGGUUAGUCGGGACCUAAGGGGAAGCCGAAAGGUGCACUCGAUGGACAGCAGGUUAAUAUUCCUGUACUAAUGGUAGCAAGUGAUGCAGUGACGCAGAAGUGAAAGCACCGCGGGCGGACGGAAGUGCCCGUUGAAGGCCGUAGGUAUUGGGAGAGUAGUUAAGUACGCUCACCUAGCCGAAAGCUGAUAGUACCGUACGUCCUUCGGGACACGCGGAUAGUGUGCCUAAUCCGACUGCCAAGAAAACCUGCUAAGCGUUUUAAUGCUAUUAUUACCCGUACCGCAAACCGACACAGGUAGUCAAGGAGAGUAUCCUGAGGCGCUCGAGUGAAUCACGGCCAAGGAACUCGGCAAAAUGGACCUGUAACUUCGGGAGAAGGGUCGCUUCCUCGUUGCAAGACGAGAAGCCGCAGUGAAAAGGCCCAGGCGACUGUUUAACAAAAACACAUGACUUUGCUAACGCGCAAGCGGACGUAUAAGGUCUGACACCUGCCCGGUGCCGGAAGGUUAAGAGGGGAACUUAGUCGCAAGGCGAAGGUUUGAAUCGAAGCCCCGGUAAACGGCGGCCGUAACUAUAACGGUCCUAAGGUAGCGAAAUUCCUUGUCGGGUAAGUUCCGACCUGCACGAAUGGUGUAACGAUCUGGGCGCUGUCUCAGCCGUGAGCUCGGUGAAAUUGUAGUCUCGGUGAAGAUGCCGAGUACCCGCCACGGGACGGAAAGACCCCGUGCACCUUUACUAUAGGUUGCCAUUGGUGUUGGGUUCGGCAUGUGUAGCAUAGGCGGGAGGCGCUGAGCCGGGGACGCUAGUUCUCGGGGAGCCAACGUUGAAAUACCGCCCUUGCCGUGCCUGAUGCCUAAUCCCGGAUUCCGGGAGACAGUGGCUGCUGGGUAGUUUGACUGGGGUGGUCGCCUCCAAAAGAGUAUCGGAGGCUUUCAAAGGUCCACUCAGUACGCUUGGUAACCGUACGCAGAGCGCAAUAGCAGAAGUGGGCUUGACUGUGAGGCCGACUAGCCGAGCAGGGUCGAAAGACGGAUAUAGUGAUCCGGUGGUUCCGCAUGGAAGGGCCAUCGCUCAAAGGAUAAAAGGUACGCCGGGGAUAACAGGCUGAUCUCCCCCAAGAGCUCAUAUCGACGGGGAGGUUUGGCACCUCGAUGUCGGCUCGUCACGUCCUGGGGCUGGAGAAGGUCCCAAGGGUUCGGCUGUUCGCCGAUUAAAGUGGCACGCGAGCUGGGUUCAGAACGUCGUGAGACAGUUCGGUCCCUAUCUGUGGUGGGCGUUGGAAAUUUGACAGGACCUGUCCUUAGUACGAGAGGACCGGGAUGGACCAGCCGCUGGUGCGCCGGUUGUACCGCCAGGUGCAGCGCCGGGUAGCUACGCUGGGACGAGAUAAGCGCUGAAAGCAUCUAAGUGCGAAACUCACCUGGAGAUGAGAUUUCCCAAUUGAAGGCCCGUCGGAGAUGACGACGUUGAUAGGCGGUAGGUGAACAACUGGAAACAGAAUAGCUGAGCCGUACUAAGUGGCCGAGGGCUUCUUUU
rnacentral:rRNA from 1 species